rnacentral:ncRNA from 1 species
UAGGGUUAGAAGAAUGAGUGAGUUUGCUAGAGCUGCAUUUUCCAGGCGACGUUUGCAAUUGCAGGAAGGAAUUGUAUGAAUGAUGAUGGAUGGUAGAUGUGAGAAUGUGGGGGUACGAAUGUGGGGGUGUUUCUGAAGGGUAAUUUUUGUUGAACAUUGUGUUGUGAUGGGGCUACCAACCCUUAACUGUUUUGGAGUUUAAAUUGGAAGUGCCCUUCUGGUACGAGGCCUGACCGGAGGCUUUUAAUCUGGUACCACGGGUAACCAGGAGCCCACGGAACUUGUUCCGUCCUGGUUAGUUGGUGCGGCCCUUCGGGGAGUAUCGUGGUGGUUGUGGUUUAACACCCAAAUGCGGGUAGAGCAUCGCUCGACGUGGAGUUGCGUCAUACAACCGGGUUCCGUGACCCAGAUUACGGAAGAGGCUUAGAUAGUCCUCGUGCCAAACCAAGGUAGAAGUCACAACCAAACAGUCGUGUCUUUAAUUGGUACCUGCGGAAUUGUUCCAAGGGGGCGGUGAUUGACGCUUGAAUUAAUCCUAUACUAGGAACCGUGAGAUUAAGCCAUCGCGGCAGGUGCUCACGUUAAGCCCACUGACUUUCAUGUCCCUAUCUACUAUCUAGCGAAACCACAGCCAAGGGAACGGGCUUGGAAUAAUUAGCGGGGAAAGAAGACCCUUUUGAGCUUGACUCUAAUCUGGCAGUGUAAGGAGACAUAAGAGGUGUAGAAUAAGUGGGAGAUAUUAGACUUCGGUUUGGUAUCGACAAUGAAAUACCACUACUCUUAUUGUUUCCUUACUU